rnacentral:lncRNA from 1 species
CUGAGGGGGGUUCAGAUCCUGGCUCUGUCCUGUCCCCCCUGUGUGACCUCAGCACAUUCCUGCACCUCUCUUAACAAACCCUGCCAACAGCUGAGUUGCUUAGCACCUGCUAUGUCGUGCAGCUUGGAGACCCUGCGCACCCUUUACCAGGACCCUGUCUCCCAAAGCUCGGUGAGGCGCCUGGUCAUCCCCCAGGAUGUGGGAGGCCGAGGCUGGGAGCAGAGGGCGGCCCGCACCUGCCACAGGGCUGAUCUAGGCUGGGGCUGGGAUUGGAAUUCCAUCCCCAGGUGCCCCCGACAUGAGGGCUGGAUCUGCUGAAGCCGGGGCCAGAGGCCUGUGCUGCCCCCAACCUGGGAACCUCCAGACCACACUGAUGCGACCGCUGCCUCCCAGUUCCCAGGAACAGAUACUGAGCUCUGAGCAAUGGGCACAAUUUCAGACCCAGCGUCCUGGCGGUGCCAUAAAACUGCAGCAGCGAAGCUCACUGGAGUCAUUUUCUCCUGUGCUGCUGACACGGAGAGGAAAAAUCCCCAAAUAAAGCUCUUCCCACAGCCACAGCCACGAAAACAUUGUCCCCUGCAACUGUGCUCGCUACUCAAACAUGAUUUCUCCUCCUCAGGGGGAAAAACCUCCCAGCAAUUCUCAUUGCAAGAUGGUAAACCUGUCGCCCUAAUGAACAGCUUUCAUUUAGAACCCAGCGAGAAGGGGCGCACCGGGAGACGGCAGCUUUGUUGACUGCGAUGUUUCCAAAUCACUUGCUCAACCUGCAGCGUUCCCAUGGAGCUUGGAGCGCCCAGCAUAGGGCUUUAUUGUUGUUUUGAGGCAAGAAAGAAGUUUUCAGAAGCCAUACUUUGUGCUGAUUCAUGUUUCACCCUUGUGCCUACAAAGUCUCCCUCAAAUGGGUAUCCUGGUCCUCUUGCAUGCCUCUGAUGAUGGGAUGCUCACUACUUCCCAGUGCAGCCCCC